GAUGGAUGGCAUUUUCCAGCCAUUUUCCAGCCAUUUGGGAUGCCAAGAGGAUCGAUGUCAGAGUCAUAGUAAUUGCGUUGAGUGUAUCUAUAGCAACCAGUUCUAAAAUUCUAAGCUUCUAAAGUUCUAAGCUUCUAAAGUUGUAAGUUUCUAAAGUUUUAAGUUUACCUGCGAUCUUCGGAGAUUAUUUUCAGACUUGCAAAUUGAGACAAAUGAUUUUCCAGAGUAUUAAAUGAUGGAUAUUUUUCAACCUAAGCACAACUCAGAAGGCCACACCUGCAGCACUGUGCAUGGUGAGGAGUGCCGUUCUCCAUGCAUCAGAGAUUUUGACAACCUUGCCAUACAAACAAGUAAAGGAGAUGUGCAUUUACAGAAGCCUGUUAAUGAACGACAAAAGUCCAGCUUUAGGACAGGCUCACGUAAACGGCAGUUCAAGUCUCCUCGUGAAGGUGACAAUGAUGAUGACAACCAUGAAACCCUUGCAAUGAUUCGCCAGCAACUUUAUGGCCCUGGUGGGCCUUAUGAACAUGAAGUGCAAGUUAAGUCAUCUUGUGACGGUGACAAUGGCAGUAACAACUACGAAACCUUUGCGAUGAUUGACAACCAACCGCCCAUCCCUGGUGGUCCUGAUGAAAACCCAAUAGUAAAUCAGACAGACAGUGAGCCAGAUUGUUCUAACCAUGAGGAUGAGGAAGAAGCUGGCGCCAGUCAGCAGCCUGCAAAAAAAGUCAAGAGGAAAUGCAAGUCUCCUCGUGAAGGUGACAAUGAUGAGGACAACCACGAACCCCUUGCAAUGAUUCGCCAGCAACUUCAUGUCCCUGGUCGGCCUGAUGGAAAUAUGAGGGUAAAUCAGACAGAAAGCGAGUCACAUUGCUGUAAAACUUCACUCUGCAAUCUUAAACGAUGCUGGGACGACCAUGAGGAUGAGGAACAAACUGCCUUCAGUCAGCAGCCUGCAAAAAAAGCCAGGCUUGGCUCUUCAGAUGUAAAACAUCUUGAACUGUCAGGGCCUUAUGUUGAAGAGGUUGGGCAAGGAGAUGCCUUUGGUAAGCAUCCUGCAAAAAAAACAAGGCUUGGCUCUUCAGUAAUCUUUGAUCUUGAAAUAUCACCGGGCUUUGGUGAUAUGGCUAAUCUUCAGCGUGUUAACAGACAAUCAAUGCCCAGCUCUGAAUCAGUAGAACAUAAAGUGCAAGAUAAGAUGUCUUGUGACGGUAACAAUGGCAGUAACGACUACGAAACUUUUGUGAUGACUUACAACCAACCACCCAUCCCUGGUGGUCCUGAUGAAAAUCCAAUAGUAAAUCAGACAGACAGUGAGCCAGAGUGUUCUAACCAUGAGGAUGAGGAAGAAGCUGGCACCAGUCAGCAGCCUGCAAAAAAAGUCUGGUUUGCCUCUUCCGAAUCCAGACUUAUUGCAAUGUUAUUGCAUUUAACAGCUAUUCCUAAUCUAAAGCCUGUAAAUCGACCACAAAAUCCAAUAGUAAAUCAGACAGACAGUGAGCCAGAGUGUUCUAACCAUGAGGAUGAGGAAGAAGCUGGCGUCAGUCAGCAGCCUGCAAAAAAAUCCAAGAGGAAAUUUCUAUAGGUGUUGCAUCUUUCUCUCGCUCUCUCUCUCGCUCGCUCUCUCUGUCUCUCUCUCUGCAUAGUUUCUUCCACCUUUUAUUAUUAAAGGCAGCUAGUCCUCCAUUUGAUCAACUGCAGAGAACACAAACAUGUAAACGAGACUUCCUGCUCAGGGCAACACAAAUCAAACGAUAAUCCUUUAAUAUUUUAAUUCCCAGAACUUUGAUCUUGAAUAUCACUAGAACAAAAAAAAAAAUAGAACCAUGCAAAUCUUAAUUAAUGAGACAUCACAUCAAUCAAAUCACUGAUGGACAAAAAGCACUUCUCAAAAAAGUUGAGUUUAAUGUACAAAAGAAAAAUUAAUCAAUAUUUCCAAAUGGGAAAAAAAAAAGUCCUGUACACACUGGAAAAAGGAGCGGCGCUUAAAUGAUUCAUCUCCUCGGUCCACCUCUUCCACGUUGUCACGUAUCGGGAAACUCUGGACUCCACUUCCCAUCAGCCACUGCACUGCUCUAGUUGUCACAUGACCACCUGCACCUGAUUCAUGUUUUGGUUAAUGAGCACUCAUGUGUAUAUAUAGUCCUUGUCGGCACCAUUAGCUUGUCUUUCGUUGUCUUAGAUCCCCUGUGUUCCAUGUUUCUUGAUCUUGUUAGUUUAUGUUUAGUUUUGCCACAGUAUUCUGCCAAGUAGUCUUAGAUUCAUGUUGUUUAUGUCUCAGUGUUUGUUUCAUGCCACAGUGUGUUUCCAAGUUGUCAUAGUGUAUUCGUUUCUUAGUACGUUUCCUUCAAUAAAUGUCAUUAUCUGCACCUGCUUCUGGCUCAACCUCGAAUUGUGACGGAACGAAAGACCUACAACCAGAAGCAGCAGAUCGCCAGGAUGGAUAACUGGGGCGUCAGGAUGCCACCGAUGUUAGUGGAGUACUUUGCCACGUUACGCCAACAGUCGGAAGAUUACCAAGCUGCGCUACGAAAGCAGCAGGUCGCCAGGUACAAGUGGGAGUUUGUGGUCGGGGCUAAUACCAUCUCCCUCCCCUAUUAUGGCUCUCGUUCAGCCUGCCCACUCUGCUGAGUACGUCGCUCAGCCUCCCUGUUCAGCUAUGGACGUCGCUCAGCCUCCCUGCCCCAUGGCAGAUAGCGUUCCCCCCUUCUGCUUCGAGGAGACCCACGCUCCUCUCCCUGGCCUUACAGGGGACUUCGCUCCGCCUCCCUGCUCCGCGGAGGACGUCGCUCCUCUCCCGGGCCUCGCGGAGAACCUCGCUCCCCUCUCCUGUCCCGUGGAGCACGUCGCCCCGCUUUCAUGCUCUGCCGAGGAAAUAUCUCAGCCUCCCUGUGCCAUUGUAGAAGCCGCCCGGCCUCCUGGUUUUGCGGGGGACAUUUUCUCCAGGGAGUCAGGACCACCAGAUGGAGGAGGUAUAAUUUUGGGCGCUCCGGGAGUAGCGCCCUUGGGGGAGGGUUCUGUCACGUAUCGGGAAACUCUGGACUCCACUUCCCAUCAGCCACUGCACUGCUCUAGUUGUCACAUGGCCACCUGCACCUGAUGUUUUGGCUAAUGAGCACUCAUGUGUAUAUAGUCCUUGUCGGCACCAUUAGCUUGUCUUUCGUUGUCUUAGACCCCCUGUGUUCCAUGUUUCUUGAUCUUGUUAGUUUGUUUAAUUUUGCCACAGUAUUCUGCCAAGUAGUCUUAGAUUCAUGUUUAUGUCUGUGUUUUUUCAUGCCACAGUGUGUUUCCAAGUUGUCAGUGUAUUCGUUUCUUAGUACGUUUCCUUCAAUAAAUGUCAUUAUCUGCACCUGCUUCUGGCUCAACCUCGAAUUGUGACACGUCCUCUUUCUCUGCCGCGUCCUCUCCCUCGUCCACGGCCAGCCACUGUGAUGAGGACAAGAGUUUAACUUAACAGCUUCAGUACAGGCCAUGAGCUGGGCAGUUAAAACCAUCAGCACUUAUAAGAAACACAGAUACACAAAUAAAACGAAACACUGACGUACAGAACAGCACAGUUAUAUUCAGUCUUUAAAGUCCCCAUGAAAUCAAAAGCGAAGUUGUGACUUUUUAGUAUGAAGAUGUUAGACUUAAGGUUAUCUAUAUGCAAUUUUGCACUUCAGCUUCUCAUCGGAUUUUCUGUCCAAUCAAAUGCUCUCUAGAAUCUGAAGUGUCCCACCCCAACAUUUAAAUAUAUUUUUAUUUUUUUUAUCACCUUGACGAAAUUGCUGUUCUUGAACAACUGGCUAUUAUUUAUUUUAUUUUUUUAAAGGGGGAGGAGCCACUCAGUGUCCCACCCUGCUUCCUGUUUCACUAGAAACUGUCAACACAUCAAAUGAUGCUGGGUGUUUCAAG
ensembl:lncRNA